rnacentral:rRNA from 1 species
CAGUCGCCGCGGUAAUACGUAGGGUGCAAGCGUUAUCCGGAAUUAUUGGGCGUAAAGAGCUCGUAGGCGGUUUGUCGCGUCUGCUGUGAAAACUGGAGGCUCAACCUCCAGCCUGCAGUGGGUACGGGCAGACUAGAGUGCGGUAGGGGAGAUUGGAAUUCCUGGUGUAGCGGUGGAAUGCGCAGAUAUCAGGAGGAACACCGAUGGCGAAGGCAGAUCUCUGGGCCGUAACUGACGCUGAGGAGCGAAAGCGUGGGGAGCGAACAGGAUUAGAGACCCCCGUAGUCCCUGUCUCUUAUAC